rnacentral:rRNA from 1 species
AGUUGAUCAUGGCUCAGAGUGAACGCUGGCGGCAGGCCUAAUACAUGCAAGUCGAACGGCAGCACAGCAGAGCUUGCUCUGUGGGUGGCGAGUGGCGGACGGGUGAGGAAUACAUGGGAAUCUGCCCAGUCGUGGGGGAUAACGUAGGGAAACUUACGCUAAUACCGCAUGCGCCCUUCGGGGGAAAGCCGGGGACCUUCGGGCCUGGCGCGAUUGGAUGAGCCCAUGUCGGAUUAGCUAGUUGGCGGGGUAAUGGCCCACCAAGGCGACGAUCCGUAGCUGGUCUGAGAGGAUGAUCAGCCACACUGGAACUGAGACACGGUCCAGACUCCUACGGGAGGCAGCAGUAGGGAAUAUUGGACAAUGGGCGCAAGCCUGAUCCAGCCAUGCCGCGUGAGUGAAGAAGGCCCUCGGGUUGUAAAGCUCUUUUGUCCGGAAAGAAAAGCGCCGGGUUAAUACCCUAGUGUCCUGACGGUACCGGAAGAAUAAGCACCGGCUAACUUCGUG